GCGGGCGUGAUGGAAUUGGUAGACAUGCCAGACUUAGGAUCUGGUGCCGCAAGGUGUGGGAGUUCGAGUCUCCCCGCCCGCA
rnacentral:tRNA from 9 species